ACAUCACAUUCCUCUAAAUCUCGGUUUUUGUUAUCGAUCAAUGAUGGCUUUGAUGGAAGCGCUUCGUCUCCUCUGUUCUAACGUCUUCAGGGGUUUCGUUCUCACUCCUAACACUUCUUCUUAACCGAUCAUUGGGUUUUUGGAUGCUUCUCUUAGUGAUGGCUUUGAUGGACACGCUUCUUCUUCUUUGCUAACGUCUUCUAGGGUCUUUUGGAAGCAACCCAUGAUCCAAUCAUCACGUAUUCUCUAAUCCAUGCUAUUGUCUUCAAGCCUUCUCACAGAUCGUGGUGGUGGUCCAUGCACUGUGGGAUUGCUCUUGUUGAAUCUUAUCUCCUCGUCUUGGUAUGCUAAAUUCUGAGCUCCUCUCAUGUGGUAUAAUCAUUUCAGACCAUCGAGACACCGAGAUUAAUGUAUUGGAGGUUUUGAAGAGAAUAAAAAACAUAGUGGAAGUGAAUGGUUUACGUGGUAUGCUUAAGUUUGUGCUCCUCUGAUGCACAUGGCUGGCUGGACAUGUGGUUUAAAUAUUCAGAUUGUGGAGGAUGCUUUGCUCUGUGGGUGAUGGUUCUAAUGGAUCGUUGUCUUCUCUGAGCUACAUCUUCAGACCAUCGAGAUUAAUGUGUGUGAGGGUAUGAAGAGAAGAAACAAACAUUAUGAAAGUGAAUGGUUUGCGUAUGAAGCUAGAACCAUACAAGGAGAUUGUGUCUGCUGCUUUGUUUGACAUUAUAGCUCAGGAUGCAAGCAAGGUUAUUGGUGGGAUGAGAGGUAUGACUGGAUUGCUAUGAGAAACCUCAUUGCUUGAUCCAUAUGAGGGUAUGCACUUUAAGGGGCUUGUCUCGUGUUUGAUGCUAAUAGAUUGGUUAUCUGAUCUAUGUAACCAGGGACAACAAUCUUGCUCAGCAAUUCAGAUAGGCUUCAGAUGCAGAGCUCUACCGACCUGGUAUGCAGCAGUUCUCAAGUUCAAUAAAUGCCCUGAAACGAAGUGGAAUUGAUAAUGGUGCUGAUUGUUCCUGUUCUCCUAGUUUCACCCACCACAUUUCUAUAGGCUGACAUCAUUGUUCGUGGUUAUGUUGGUUGGAAUUCUAGGUUUGCCUUGAAGGUCUUUCCCAAAGUUUCUUGAAGGAUGCCUUUGAUCUGUCGUUGCUCCCUGUUGCCUCUUUGACAGUCUCCUCUUUACCUUUCUUAUAUUUAUACUGUUCACAGAUCAGCCAAGUCUUUAUUUGCUUGUGUUAGAUCGUGGAGGUUCAAGGCCUUGUUGGAGGGAAGAAUGGUUUGCGUAUAAUUUCGAGUCUUCACAUUUAUACUACCUAUUGUUUUUUUUGAUUAACUAAUGGCUAUUGUUGGUGAGGUUUAAGGCCUUUUUGGAGGGAAGGAUGGUUUUUGUGUAACUUCGAGACUUUUCUUUCGUGUGCUCUCAGUCUCAGGUGGUGCAUUAAAUGGCUUCAAGCUUAUUUUCUCAUGCUUGAUGACAUCAUGGACAACUCUGUCACACAGUGUGCUCAGCCUUGCUGGUUCGGACCGCCAAAGGUUUUCGAGGACACGUUUGGAAGACUCGAUUUACAAGAAUACCUCACAGCCUCCGUAUCUUUUCCUGCCUGCCUUAGCUCAGGUUCUUUCUUACUUUGGUACUUCUUCAGAUUUUAAGUGCAAGAAUUAGUAGUUUGAAACGAUUAGGAUGAAUAUGAUUGUGAUGAUGCAAACCUAAUCCGUAAGAGGGAUGAUGCAAAGCCAUGGUUCCUUAUCUAUCCAGAGUAAUCUAUCUAUGGUCUCAUUACUCGGCAAGGUUCCGAGCCAGCCAAGCAAUGGCCAAGGAGACGGCCUUGUUAGCCUUCAAUCAGGUUCUUAAGCUC